rnacentral:tRNA from 1 species
UGGCUCAGUAGUGAAGUGGUUAUCACGCCAGAUUGUCAAUCUGGUAGCCGGGGUUCAAUUCCCCGCUGGGCCGUC